rnacentral:misc_RNA from 1 species
GGAUGCAUAUGAGUGGUGGAAGACUAUCCCACAUAGUCUAGUGGAGCCCCUUGUUCUGACCUGAUCAGAUUUUCUGAGGGAAUUUAGACAGAAAUGGGUCCCUGAUACCUAUGUUGACAUGAAAUUGCAAGAAUUUUUUAGCUUGAAGCAAGGGAAUAAAUCUGUGGCCGAGUAUGAGAAAGAUUUUUUCUGCUUUAGUCAUCUUGCUGGAAACCUGCUUAUCACGAGCAAAGAUCGAUGUAAGCGGUUUGAGGCUGGUUUGAAGCCCAAUAUGAGGAUGCAAGUAGUGG